GAUGAACGCUGGCGGCAGGCCUAAAACAUGCAAGUCGAACGCCCUAGCAAUAGGGAGUGGCGCACGGGUGAGUAACAUGUGGGAAUAUGCCUUUUGGUACGGAACAACGUUUGGAAACGAACGCUAAUACCGUAUGGUCCCUCCGGGGUAAAGAUUUAUCGCCAAAAGAUUAGCCCGCACUAGAUUAGCUAGUUGGUAAGGUAAUGGCUUACCAAGGCGACGACCUAUAGCUGUUCUGAGAGGAAGAUCAGCCACACUGGGACUGAGACACGGCCCAGACUCCUACGGGAGGCAGCAGUUAGGAAUAUUGGACAAUGGGCGCAAGCCUGAUCCAGCCAUGCCGCGUGAGUGAUGAAGGCCUUCGGGUUGUAAAGCUCUUUAGCCGACGAAUAUAAUGACUGUAGUCGGAGAAUAAGCCCCGGCUAACUUCGUGCCAGCCGCCGCAGUAAAAC
rnacentral:rRNA from 1 species